rnacentral:rRNA from 1 species
CCUACGGGUGGCAGCAGUGGGGAAUAUUGGGCAAUGGGCGCAAGCCUGACCCAGCAACGCCGCGUGAAGGAAGAAGGCUUUCGGGUUGUAAACUUCUUUUCUCAGGGACGAAGCAAGUGACGGUACCUGAGGAAUAAGCCCCGGCUAACUACGUGCCAGCAGCCGAGGUAAUACGUAGGUGGCAAGCGUUAUCCGGAUUUACUGGGUGUAAAGGGCGUGUAGGCGGGACUGUAAGUCAGAUUUGAAAACCACGGGCUCAACCUGUGGCCUGCAUUUGAAACUGUAGUUCUUGAGUACUGGAGAGGCAUACGGAAUUCCUAGUGUAGCGGUGAAAUGCGUAGAUAUUAGGAGGAACACCAGGGGCGAAGGCGGUCUGCUGGACAGCAACUGACGCUGAGGCGCGAAAGCGUGGGAGCAAACAGGAUUAGAUACCCCUGUAGUC